UCUUCAAUCUCAUGCACUACUUCCUCGAAGUCAUUGUCAUCAUUUUUCAUCAUCAAGUUACACUUUUGAGGACACUUACUUGAGUAAUGACCCAUCCUCUCACAGUUAAAAUACACUUCACUCGAGAAAGAUCUAGCUUGGUUCCCUCCACUAAAGAUUUUCUAUUAGGAUCUCGGUUAGGUUGAUGGGAGGGCAUGAUGGGCUUAGUAGUGUCUUGGCUCCUAUCAAUCCACUUUCUAGUACUCGACUCCCUAGCUUGGUAACCAAAGUGCCUGGUAGGAGGUUUGAGGCAACACUCAUACUCGAGUGUGAGUUGGAAUGCAUCCUCAACAGUGGUGACUCGAUGGGGUGUGAUCUCUUUCAAGAUUUCCUCACGUAAUCCUCUCCUAAAUCAGGCUAAGGUCCUCCUCUUCUUCUUGGAC
rnacentral:lncRNA from 1 species